AAGUGCUUUGCUAAAGCAAGUGUCCCGGGUGCCGGGGGCACACUUCCGAAGAGCAGCUCAUACACGUGGGGAGAUGAAGACUUUCCGGAAGUGGUGGAGAGAUGAAGGAAGACUUUCCGGAAGUGGUGGGGAGAUGAAGGAAGACUUUCCGGAAGUCAUGGAGAGAUGAAGGAGGACUUUCCGGAAGUGGUGGGGAGAUGAAGGAAGACUUUCCGGAAGUCAAGGUGUAGAGGGAGCAGUGAGCCAGGGUCAGCUGAUCUCGUGCUGGAAUUCGGAUUCCGGGUCAGGCAUCUUCCACUUACACCAGGCUGCCAGCCUCCGUGCGCACACACAAAAAAUGGAAGAGAGAAAAAAGAAAUGGAAAGGACAUCCACUCCAAACAGCGAGGGACCCUGGCGCCGUCAGUAAUAGGAAAAUGUCUAAUAAUGUCUGCUAAUGUAGUUUAAAAAAAAAACGUUUUGUGUUUAUAAUUGAGCGCGCACAAGU